CCUACGGGGGGCUGCAGUGGGGAAUAUUGGACAAUGGGGGAAACCCUGAUCCAGCAAUGCCGCGUGUGUGAAGAAGGCCUGCGGGUUGUAAAGCACUUUCGGUUGGGAAGAAAAGUUUGGCGCCAAUACCGCCGAACCUUGACGUUACUGACAGAAGAAGCACCGGCUAACUCUGUGCCAGCAGCCGCGGUAAUAUAGAGGGUGCAAGCGUUAAUCGGAACGACUGGAGGUGGUCAUGGCGUUGGGGGUUGAAAUCCCCGGGCUUAACCUGGGAACUGCAUUAGAUACGACAUGGCUAGAGUAUGGUAGAGGGAAGUGGAAUUUCCGGUGUAGCGGUGAAAUGCGUAGAUAUCGGAAGGAACACCAAUGGCGAAGGCAGCUUCCUGGACUAAUACUGACACUGAGGCACGAAAGCGUGGGUAGCAAACAGGAUUAGAUACCCCUGUAGUC
rnacentral:rRNA from 1 species